UUUUGCGAAUACAGACUAACAUGGCUGCUACUCUGAAACCUGUACGAUGAUGAUGAUUACUGAAGAUCUUCUCUCAUCAUAUAAGAGAACAGGUUCUCCCAAUCCCAAAGGAUCAGGCCCCAGACCCAGGUCCGAUGAUAACUUAGAUCUUACCCAAAAUAGGCACUUAUAGUCAAUUCUCGUUAACUGAACUACAAUUUAUUCAAAAAGAAAAGGGAGAGAGAGUUGGUUGAAAGAUCAAUCUACAGACCGACUUGAGUUCAGUUCUUGAGGUCCAGAUACCUAGCCGAGAUGGUGAGUUUGUAGUGGCCAAAAGUCCUUUUAGAAACAGUCCAGAGGUUCCAGUCCAAUGUCCAUGUUGAGGGCGACUCCAGUCAGUGACGGGGGAUCUCAAUCCUUAUGGCUCAGGGUUUCCCCUUCUUGAAACCCAAAGCCGAUCUGAGAU